AGAAGGAGCCAGGGCUAGAGUCCUGGAAGGUGGCAGUCAGGUCGCAGGGCCACAGCAGUCACUCUGCGACUCUCUCUUCCGGUGUUUCUCCAGCGCCAAGCGGGAGAAGACGGAGCCUGGGAGCUGGGACUGGAGGAGCGGGAAGCGCAGUAUCGGGACCACGGCUCUGGGACCAGGAAAAACGCAGACUCUCCAGAGUCAAUGUCUACUUCAGCCAGCUCAAGGGCGCGACAACCUGGCGCCGAGCAUCUCAGGCCGCCGCGGGGACCCCCCCUAAGGGACUCGGGAACACCUGCCUACCCUAGAAGAGGCGGAGAAUAACCCCGUAGGGAGUUAAGCGGCCUCUGCCUACAGCGUUCCUCCCGCCUCCACGGCGCCGAGCCCUGAUUGACGUUCAGCCAGGCCAAUCAUAGCCUGUGUCUGAGGCGCGCGGAGCUGGAGCGCCCAGGGCAUGUCCGCCGAUCCCAAGGAGGCAAUCUGUCAGGCGCCGCCCGGGCGGCAGUAUGCCUGAGGGGGUCCUCCGUGUUCGCGCCUCCCGCCGCCUGCACUGAAAGGUCUGUACCUGAGCCUGGAUACUUGAACAGAGGCAGACACUGCGGCUCAAAACCCCAAGGGUAGGUACCUAUUGUGCGGAGUCUCGGAACGCCUGCCUGGAAGAAGAGUUCCGGCGGCUCCCCGAACGCUUGGAGAAAGCGCUUGGAUGCAGUUGCAGGAAUAUCCUAGCUCUGAGACAAAAAUUGGGAACCUCAGCAUGAGUUUGUCACCUGAAUGAAAUAAAAAAAAUCACGUUGAAGGCUGGUGCAGUAACAUGUGCCUGUAGUCCCAGCUACUCUGGAGGCUGAGUCAGGAGGAUCACUUGAGACCAGAAGUUCAGGAAUUCAAGACUGGCUUGAGCAACAUAGCAAGACUUCAUUUCAAAACAAACAGAAAAAAGCCACCACCUUCAGUAUUUCUUGCCAAAGCAAAGGAGCCAUUUGUUCUUUACGAUGGUCAGGAAAGGAAGCAUCAAGGUCAUCAAAUGAAAAAUUUUCAGCAUUUCAGCCUCUCUGCUCAGGGAAAUAUCUGAAUCUAGAAUAUCACAACAUGAGCCAAAACCGCCCCAUUUCUCAUGCCACAUGUCACUCUUAACACAAGGUUACUCAACCUCGAGCAUGGUUGGCAUUUGGGGCUGAAUAAUUCUUUUUUGUAGGGGGCUGUCCUGGGCAUUGUAGGAUGCUCAUGAGCUACCUCAGUCUCUACCACCCACUAGAUGCCAGUAGCAUUGACCCCUGAUCUCUCUACCCAAGUUGUGACAACUAAAACCAUCUCUGGAUAAUGGAGGAACCUUAAAUGCAUAUUGCUAAGGAAAAGCCAAUCUGAAAGGAUUACAUAUUGUAUGAGUCCAACUAUAUGGUAAUCUGGAAAAGGCAAAACCAUGGAGACAGUGAAAAGGUAGUGGUUACCAGUGGUCCAUGGGAAGGGUUGGAUGAAUAGGUGGAGCACAGAGGAUUUUUAAGGCAGUGAAACUAUUCUGAAUGAUACUGUAAUGGUGGAUACAUGUCAUACCUUUGUCAAAACCAAUAAAAUAUAACAACCAAUAAAACUGCACAAAGAGUGAACCCUAAUGUAAACUAUGGACUUAAUAAUGUAUCAAUAUUGGCUCACCAAUUUUAACAAAUGUACCACACUAAUGCAAGAUGUUACUAAUAGUGGAAACUGGAGGGAAGAGGGCUUGAGGGGACAUACGGGAACUCUCUGUAAUUCCUGUUCAGUUUUUCUGUAACUGUUAAACUGUCCAAAAAAAGUCUGUUUUUAUAAAUGGAGGCAUGGUUUUAUAUGGACUAAAAUACUAUGAUUGCCUUUUUAUUUUACACAUGGUGAAAUUAGAGCAGGACAUAUUUUAAACUCAAAAUUCACAAAAUUAAUUUAUGAAAAUGUUUACCCAGAUCAAGAAUAUUAAAGAAACUUAGAUUAA
ensembl:lncRNA novel transcript